AAAAAGACUCAGUAAUAUUUUUCUUCUUAUAUUUGGAAAAACUAUGCAUUUUUAUAUUUAUAUAAACGUAUUUCAGAGCAGUUUCUGGGGGAUAAGUCAACAAUGAUGUUUUAGAUCACAAGUCAAAAUUAAGUCACACUUCAUGUCAGUAUGAUCAUGCUUUAAAUAAGAUUGAUUAAAAUGCUACUCUGAAAGAGAUUGUUUUAAGGCAGCAACCAUUUGAUUUUCGGGGAAGGGGAUGGGG
rnacentral:lncRNA from 1 species